rnacentral:tRNA from 1 species
GCCGGCAUGUCGGAAUGGCAGACGAGGCAGACUCAAAAUCUGUUGUCAGAGAUGACGUGUGGGUUCGAGUCCCACCACCAGCA